GUGGUGUUUGUGGCUUCGCUGGCGCCGCGAAGAAACCGUGUCCGAGGUGCGUUUUGUCGCGACGACAUCCAUGCUCCUGUAAGAAACUGCAGUCCAGUGGUUGCCCUGUGGAGCUGGAUCCGGCCUUUUGGAAACACGGCCUGCUCAUGAGUCACGAAGUAGGAGCUGAAGAGAACUCUAAUGCUGGUACACGCCUCACGAAUACAAAGAACCUUGGUGAAUGCAUUACUGUCGUCAUAUUGUCAUGCCGGGCCCUUUCCAAGGUCGUCGGACAGGUCAAGGUUAGCACGCAGUACAGCGUGCCUUUGGCUGACAAGUCCGUCGGAUGCUCCUUCAAAGCAGAGAGCGUGUCAAGGAGUACGCAGACUACAGAGACUGUGGAUGAGUCGAGCUGUA